UCUCCGUAGGUGAACCUGCGGAGGGAUCAUUACAGAGUUCUCGCCCUCGCGGGUAGAUCUCCCACCCACUGUUAUCGUUACUGUGUUGCUUUGGCGGGCCGCCGGGCCCCGCUCGGCCGCCGGCUCCGGCUGGCGCGCGCCCGCCAGAGGCCCAGCAAACUCUGAAUGUUAGUGUCGUCUGAGUACUAUAUAAUAGUUAAAACUUUCAACAACGGAUCUCUUGGUUCUG
rnacentral:misc_RNA from 1 species